AGAGAGAAGCUUGCUUCUCUUGAGAGCGGCGGACGGGUGAGUAAUGCCUAGGAAUCUGCCUGGUAGUGGGGGAUAACGUCCGGAAACGGACGCUAAUACCGCAUACGUCCUACGGGAGAAAGCAGGGGACCUUCGGGCCUUGCGCUAUCAGAUGAGCCUAGGUCGGAUUAGCUAGUUGGUGAGGUAAUGGCUCACCAAGGCGACGAUCCGUAACUGGUCUGAGAGGAUGAUCAGUCACACUGGAACUGAGACACGGUCCAGACUCCUACGGGAGGCAGCAGUGGGGAAUAUUGGACAAUGGGCGAAAGCCUGAUCCAGCCAUGCCGCGUGUGUGAAGAAGGUCUUCGGAUUGUAAAGCACUUUAAGUUGGGAGGAAGGGUACUUACCUAAUACGUGAGUAUUUUGACGUUACCGACAGAAUAAGCACCGGCUAACUCUGUGCCAGCAGCCGCGGUAAUACAGAGGGUGCAAGCGUUAAUCGGAAUUACUGGGCGUAAAGCGCGCGUAGGUGGUUCGUUAAGUUGGAUGUGAAAUCCCCGGGCUCAACCUGGGAACUGCAUCCAAAACUGGCGAGCUAGAGUAUGGUAGAGGGUGGUGGAAUUUCCUGUGUAGCGGUGAAAUGCGUAGAUAUAGGAAGGAACACCAGUGGCGAAGGCGACCACCUGGACUGAUACUGACACUGAGGUGCGAAAGCGUGGGGAGCAAACAGGAUUAGAUACCCUGGUAGUCCACGCCGUAAACGAUGUCAACUAGCCGUUGGGAGCCUUGAGCUCUUAGUGGCGCAGCUAACGCAUUAAGUUGACCGCCUCGGGAAAAAGGCCGCAAGGUUAAAACUCAAACGAACAGGAGGCU
rnacentral:rRNA from 1 species